rnacentral:rRNA from 1 species
GUGGCGAACGGGUGAGUAACACGUAGGGAACCUGCCCCUAAGACGAGGAUAACUACUGGAAACGGUAGCUAAUACUGGAUAGGAUAAGUUGACGCAUGUUGGCUUAUUUAAAGGUGCCUAUAAAGCACCGCUUAGGGAUGGCCCUGCGGCGCAUUAGCUAGUUGGUGGGGUAACGGCCUACCAAGGCGACGAUGUGUAGCUGUGCUGAGAGGCAGAACAGCCACACUGGGACUGAGACACGGCCCAGACUCCUACGGGAGGCAGCAGUAGGGAAUUUUCGGCAAUGGGGGGAACCCUGACCGAGCGAUGCCGCGUGAGUGAUGAAGGUCUUCGGACUGUAAAACUCUGUUAUUAGGGAAGAAUACUAUAGGGAGGAAAUGCCUUAUAGAUGACGGUACCUAAUGAGGAAGCCCCGGCCAACUAUGUGCCAGCAGCCGCGGUAAUACAUAGGGGGCGAGCGUUAUCCGGAAUUACUGGGCGUAAAGGGUGCGUAGGCGGUUUCUUAAGUCUAGUGUGAAAGCCCACG